UGUGGUUUAAUUCGAUGCAAACGCGAAGAACCUUACCUGGUCUUGACAUCCCGGAGACCCUUAGGAAACUAGGGGGUGCUUCCAUCUGGAAGAAUCUGGAGACAGGUGCUGCAUGGCUGUCGUCAGCUCGCGUCGUGAGAUGUUGGGUUAAGUCCCGCAACGAGCGCAACCCUUGCCUUUAGUUGCCAGCAGUUCGGCUGGGCACUCUAAAGGGACUGCCGGUGUUAAACCGGAGGAAGGUGGGGAUGACGUCAAGUCCUCAUGGCCUUUAUGACCAGGGCUACACACGUACUACAAUGGCCGAUACAAAGGGCAGCGACACUGCGAGGUGAAGCCAAUCCCGUAAAAUCGGUCUCAGUCCGGAUUGGAGUCUGCAACUCGACUCCAUGAAGUUGGAAUCGCUAGUAAUCGUGGAUCAGCAUGCCACGGUGAAUACGUUCCCGGGCCUU
rnacentral:rRNA from 1 species